CUUUAACAGCUGAAUUCUUUGUGGUUAAACCAUUUUGUAAAGGUUUCUUCUCUUGCUAAGACAGAUAAACGAAAUCAGAAUGAGAAUUGCACCCACUGUUCUAGCAGUGCACUGUGAACUUGAGAUUUCUGUGUAAUGUAUGGUUUGUGGGACUCUGUGUCACCUUCU